GAUGAACGCUGGCGGCGUGCCUAAUACAUGCAAGUCGAGCGAACAGACGAGGAGUUUACUCCUCUGACGUUAGCGGCGGACGGGUGAGUAACACGUGGAUAACCUACCUAUAAGACUGGGAUAACUUCGGGAAACCGGAGCUAAUACCGGAUAAUAUAUUGAACCGCAUGGUUCAAUAGUGAAAGACGGUUUUGCUGUCACUUAUAGAUGGAUCCGCGCCGCAUUAGCUAGUUGGUAAGGUAACGGCUUACCAAGGCGACGAUGCGUAGCCGACCUGAGAGGGUGAUCGGCCACACUGGAACUGAGACACGGUCCAGACUCCUACGGGAGGCAGCAGUAGGGAAUCUUCCGCAAUGGGCGAAAGCCUGACGGAGCAACGCCGCGUGAGUGAUGAAGGUCUUCGGAUCGUAAAACUCUGUUAUUAGGGAAGAACAAAUGUGUAAGUAACUAUGCACGUCUUGACGGUACCUAAUCAGAAAGCCACGGCUAACUACGUG
rnacentral:rRNA from 1 species